CAAAAUGUAGUUUAAAUAAAACCCCUUGCUUACACCAAGACAAUGUCUAUUAACUAUUAGACCAUNNGGGA
rnacentral:tRNA from 1 species